rnacentral:pre_miRNA from 1 species
UGGCGCGGGGAGGGCCGACAGUGGGCUUGGCGACACUGUAUGCGCUCACCGCCCAGC